AUUCCUCUUAACACUGCACUUGAAUCCCACUCAGAGACACAGCACUAGCUUCUCUCUGUUGAAUCUCGGGGUUAAGAUCUAAUUUUUCCAACUCUCUCAUCAUUUUCGUUUCCUUCACAAGUGAUUCUUAUGGGUUUUGCUGCAUCCUUUAGUGUGAAUUUCAUUCUUCAGUGUGAAUUUCACAAUGACUUGGGGCCACAGGUUUUCCCUUCCCUCCCUCCUGCCAUUCCUCCUUUCCUUCCCAUCCACCCUUCCUUUCUUCUGUCCAUAUUCAUUGACUGCCUACUACUGGCCAGGCUCCACUGGGGCACUAAAAUAAAUUAAGUUGCCAAUAAUCAGGUGGGAGAUGAAUAGGAUUUCAGGGGAACAGGUAACCUAUUCUCUAAUACAAGCUUGAGAGAAAAGUGACUUGAAGAGUUGGCAAAAAAUGUGGAGUUUUCUAGGCAACUUGUGGGUGGGUAAGCAGAGCCUGAGGGGAUACAGGAAUUAUAGUUCUUGCCCUGUAUAUCACCCCAAAUUUUCAGGUCUAGUUGGAAGCAACCAUUAGGCAAGGCGAAAAACAGUAGAACAUCAAUAUAGCGUGCCUCAGUUAAAUAUUUUUUGAACUGUUUUUGCACUGCAGAAGUGUUUGUUGAAUAGCUAACAGAAUCUAAGUUGAGAAGUAAACUUUAAGAAAUUGGACUAAUAUUGUGAUUUUUGAUAUUAUUGGUCAGAAUCAUUUCCCAUUUCUCAUUAUAAUAGUUAAAGCAAGUACCUGAUUUCUUAGUUUUUAAUUCUCCUAUAAGAAGUUAACCUUGCAGGAGAGGUGGUUUUCAGUGGUCAUUCCCUGAGGAAAAAUGCCUUCAGCCCAACCUCAGUAUAUACACAUGCGCGCGCGCGCGCGCGCACACACACACACACACACACACACACACACACACACACACCACUCCACCAUAUACCCACCAACUAUCCCUGAACCAUCCAAUGUAUUUUUUGCUGGUCUUAUUUCCAAAGCUAAGCAAAAGAAGAAGAGAUUGCUCUCCUGGCUGAUAGAAAAUCAUAGUAAGUUUUGAGAAAAAGCCAAGUAAAUAGUUUUCUGGAGUUCUUAUUCCAUCUCCCAUCCCAAACCUACCGUAAGAAUCCAAAAAAUUAUAGAAAUGGCUGGGAUUUUUAAUUUCAAAAGUCAGUGAUGUGAGUGAAAGGCUGUGAUCAAGAUUAAGCUUCAGAAAAGUAUCUCCGAGCUCCCAGAGAGUUGCUGUAGUGAGUGCUGAAUGUCUAUGGCACUAGUACUGGAAAGCAAUGUGGAGUGCACAAAAUUCCCUCAUCACUGUAGACAGCUGAAAUGCUCAGAAAAUUUUGAGGAAUCUCUGAAAAAUGCAAUGGGCUCAGCCCAAUAGUGAAGAGGUCUCAUGUGUUUCUGGUCUUGUAAAGACCAGAAAUGAAAUUUAACAUGCAUAUUUUUAAACACAUCAUUUAGAAGAGAAAUACUACUGAGCCAGAUAACUAUUGAAUUUUAUGAGUCCUAAUAAAAAAAAGGGAGGAGGUUGGCUAUAGGAAAAUAAGAUUUUUUGUGCUUAUUCUAUUUUGUGACGGUCCUUCCUUUUUUCCUUCUACUCAUAUUCAUAUUCGGAAGUUUGUGAGACUUCUCAAUUGCCCUUCUCUCCACCUUGGCAUUUUUCUUCUCUCUAGGAUCCUGACGUAUUUCUCUCGUGCCUCAAGGACGUUGACUUUGGAGAGAGCUGUUUUGAGUUUGAAUCAUGAUUUUGGCACUUACUGGCUUUGUGACUUGGGAAAAUUCUCUUGUUUGGCAUGUAUUUUCUCUUCCAUAAAAUAAGAAUUAUCAUCCUUACCUCACAGGAUGGUUAUGAGUAUAAACCAAGCUAAUAUAUGCCAAGUGCUUCAUACUUGCUGGCACCUAUAGACACUCAAUAAAUAUGAGUUUUCUUUCUCAGAAGAAUAACUGUUGUUUUUUAUAUUCAAAGCUAUAUUCUCUGUCAGUGUCCUCAAUAGUCCCAAACUGGGCAAACCUGGGGCUGGACACACAGAACACUGUGCCCUAUCCUUUGUUCGCCUGAGAGCCAGGGCCAGAAGUUAACACACAGCUUAGCAAACAAGUAUUUUCUUAAAAAAAAAAAUGUGGAGUGACUGCAAAGCUCACCUCUAAGGCUCUUUUCAGCUGACAUUAUGACAUUACGGGACUCUGCCUUCUAGGAUCUCCCAUGGCAGGCAAAUACCUCUGACACACCUCCACCCCAUGCAUACAUCUGACAAAACGGAAAAGAAUAAAGCUGCAAUUUGGAGGCCAAAGUGAGGCAAAAAGAAAGGCUGAUGUUGAGAAGCAAACUUACUGUUCCAGCCUGGGGUCCUCCCUGCUAUUGUUAACCAAAUUGAUGUUUUCUUUGGAAGACCACUCUGUCAGUUGAUGGCAGUGGACACUGUGUUGGGAGAAGAGUCAAGAUUCGACAUCUACCUCCUGGUUACCUACUUGAUUGAUGGUCUACACCACAGAAAUGUCCCACAUUUUUCCCACACCACAGCCCCUCAUAACCAAACUCUAUAAAGAGGAGGACUAGCUCCCACCCUCAGGCAUAUUUUCACUCUUCAUCCCAUUCUCUUCUCUUCUUACGAUGGAGCCCAGUCUGUUUGGCCUUGCCUAAGUAAGAAUGGCAUAGAGAAAUCUCUAAAAGGUCAGGGGUUCCCUGGGUGGAAAGAAUUACUGAUGAGUUUUUGUUCACAUUGAUGAAUGGGCAGUCAAUCAAUAUGAAAGGAAGGGAGGGAAGGAGGGGUAAGGAGAAGAGAGAAAGGGAGGAAAGAAGGGCUUGUAGACAGUAACUGAUGAGCAUGUAUAUAGUUGCUGAUGAAAUGAGGACUGAAAUGUGCUAGCAGCUCCUGUCUCAAAUCCACAGCUAAAAAAACCCAGAAAAUUUUGUAGAAUUUGUUUCUGAGAAACAGAAGCCACUGAGUCAAAGUUCAAAAUAACUAGGUUUGCAUCUCUGAAAAGCUGUUUUCUAGCUGGGCGAAGAAGUCUCUUUCACCCAAUCGUAUGUAUGAACUCUUGCUUUCCUCCCUGACGGGACUGGAAGCUCUUUUUACAGUCACGAUAUGGCUCUGGUCUGUGGUCCUAGACCAAGUUUUCAUGGUACUCCCCUCUUUGGCCUCACACUUCCUCACGAAACUUCAGUGCUGCCUCAUGGCCUGCAGGAUAAAGUCCAAGUUCCUCAACAUAGUAUUUGAGUGGCCAUGGGCCUGGCUACCCCCGCACCCUUAUCUUGGUCUUUCCAUUAUAACAGCUCCCCAUGGCUCAUAGUUCACUGCUGCAUCUCUGUGCUUUUGCUCAUGGUUCCACUCUGCCUAGAACCCUCACCUACCCAUACCCCUAGGCGAGCUGCUACAAGGUUCCUGCCUCCUUCCUCUGUGUGUGACCUCUGCCCCAACACUUGGCAUCCCUCUCUCAUUGCACUGGCCACAUCCUGUAACAUUGAUCAGCUUCAUGGUUUUACUCUCACUAGACAGUGAGGUCCUUUGGGGAGAAACACUGUCUUACCUCUCUCUCUGAAUCUCCACCAUGGAGAACCACGCCCAGCACACAGUAGGCAUUCAGUAAAUAUGUGUUGGGUGAAGGGGUAAAUGAAGGAAAUGUCCAUGUUCUCCCUUCAGUUGAAACUCAAAUGUCCUUUAGAAGAUUGAACACUAAGUUUGAAACCACCCUGACUGUUGCUGCCUCCAUCCAACCUCUUGGCAGGUGUAUAUUUUGUGCCUUUUAUCCUCGUAACCUCAUUUCUCUUUUUAUUCCCCUCUGUCACUUCAAUGGCGUGCCAACCUCCAUGCACUGAGCAGCUGAUAAGGCUGGAAGCCUGGCAAUGGUAACUACCAGAAAGUUUCGACUCCCAGAGAUGGUCAUGGACUUUCCCAAAAUAUGUUCCUGGGGCCCCAAAGUGUGUGGUGGGAGACAAUGCUUUCUAUUUUAUGUAAACCAAGGAGAACUUGGCAUGCAAGUGUGGGGGUGCCACAGCAGGAAUAUGGAAUUCCAUCCCAGACUCUUCUCACUCAGGUUGGAAAUGUGCAAACAGCAGCUAGAGAAAUAUCCAUCUGGAUUACUGCAGACACGAUCAGGGCUUUGUGUGGAAGGUUAGGCUAAGUGACCUCAACAUUCUCUGUCCCUAUAUUGGCAGGUCUCGGUCUUUGAGUUCAAAUUUGAUAACCUGCAGUGAGUUUUUGCUGGGACUGUGAUUUGGACCCAAUUAUCUCAUUUCCCAUUUCUUCCCUCCCCAGUGGAGACUGGAAAGACUCUGAGCCCCUGCACAUCCCUUCUCCUGGCUCUUCACUACAGAGGGCUUGAGGCUUCUCCUCUCCUUGGUUCUUCCAAGGUCCAACCUAUGAAAACAAAAGUGAAAAUUUGAGUUAUAAAUACCGUCACCAAAAUGUAAAUGACUAGAAAUAGCCACUCUUGAGUCUUACUGACACACAUACAGAAAAUAUGUGACAUCUCCCUGGUGACUCAAGGCAGUGUGAACAGCAGCAGCAGUGGGCUUGAUAGUGAUGCUUUACAUGCCUUUGGCACAAGCACCUCCCUGGAACUUAGCUAGGCGUCUGUAGCUAAUCUUCAGCCACAGGACCUUCUGGCAUCUUCCAUGGCCUACCUGUCAGUUUGAAGAUUGACAGCAGCUUGGAGCCCUCACCCAGACGAGCAGCAAAAGAGGAAAAUAAUGAGUAAUUCAUGAAAGAGUCACCAUCAAGGGACUCUUGGGACUAUUUGAGAGAAACCUGGGCUGGGGGGAGGGGAGUGCUGGAGCCCUACAGAGCAGCAGGGGGCAGUGCCAGAGAAAUAUUAUUCUGUGGCUGUUACCACAAUUCUAAGCCACAGCAAAAUGGAUGGUUUCCCUUUAUUGUUUUGUUGCAUUCAGACAAUCUGGACUAAGAUGGCUGGUUCCUGAGGAGGAGUUUGGAAGUAAAGAGGAAUGGUGAUUUGGGACUCAUAAAGACAUCCCGAAAGUGGGGGUUGGGAGAGCAGGAUAGCAGAGACCUGCCACUGGCAAUGCAGGGCUCUCAGUGGAGUGUCCUGGCAGACUGUGAGGGCAGGGAGGAAUCUGUUGUUUGACAGCAGUGAAGGGGGCAAUACCCCUUUUAUUGUAAUUAUCCAGUGGCUGACAAAGGAAGGUUUUCUUGACUCAUGUGAACCCAGGAAAUAGGGCCUUCGAGUCCUUUGCCUGGCGUGGCAGGGCAGUGGCACAGGUUCUGCACAAGGCAGGAAAAUGGGACCUGAUGCCACUGCCUGUCACAUCCGUGCUAAAGAAAGGCACAAUGCUCAAGGCCCAUCGCACGUGAUGCCCAUUUCUGCACCAUUACUACCCACCCCUCCUACACCCUGCAAGACUCAUGGGAUGGACCUUUUAGGGAGUAAAAAAAGGAAAGAAAAACUGUAAACAUUCACAAGGCAUAGAGAGACUGAAUCCCAAAGUGCACACAAAUACCAUUAAUACCCCCAGCUCCCAAAUCUCCCCCAGGCCAGUCUUCCUGGCCUCCCAAGACCAGAGAGAAGUGGCCUCUCUCAAUGCGAAAUGAUCUCUAAAUGCCAAGAGGUGUUUUUGAAUAGAAUCAUGCAAAACUUAAAAGGGUCCUCAUGAAACAGAUGAAGAUGAUGGAUACAACAGUACCACCUGCAGUCAAACCAUCUCAACCUGCAAGAGGAGCCUCUGGCUAAAGGUCAGUUAUUUCGCAGGCUGGAGAUUAAUCACAGAGCUCAAGAAUAUGAAAGCAAAGAGAAACAGAAAGGAGGGAGAGGUGGAAAAGGAACCUGUAACCUCCAUUUUCUCUCUCUGGGAGCCACAUAUAGUGAAGAAAAAGCAUCAGGGUUGGGAGGUCUGGUGUGGUUAGGAGGUCCAGUGUGGGUGGUAUUCUAAAUGUCAACAUAAACGGUAAGUCCACCCACUUCCCUCUACCAGAACUUUGCCCUUUACUGCUUCUAAAAGGAUGGGUCAUAGGGAAUAAAAGAGGGAGACAGGAUAAGAGGAAAGCAAAGACAUGACCUCGCCUUUUCCCUUUAAGACCUUGGGCAAGUCACACUCCCUAUCCUGGGCUGCCUGACAUGCUAGCUGGGAAUUUUCUGACUUUCCCUGGCAUCACUGUAGUAUUACAGCCAGAUCAUAACCUGAGAGCUGAUGCGCUUCCUCACCUAAAAUGGAACAGACGGGAGGGAGGGUGGAAUGCUGUUUGUGUUCAGGUAUGAGUCAUUACCAUGCAUCCCACUUCCUUGAACCUGACUCUUAAUUGCAUGCUUUAGCCAAGAUUCAGCAAAAGGAGAGCUUGGGAGUAAGUCUCCAUUGGCAGAGAGCACCCAUGUUGUUUGCUGCUCAUUUUUCUACCCAUGGGAAAAAGAACUCCUAACCUCUGGAGUCAGUAGUCUGGCCACGAAAACUCAUCCAAGUGACUUGGGGAAGAGAUAAGAUUCCCUGGCCCCAGGUGGUGCAGAGAAGUGGGUGGUACCUCCUGGAGUCCCCAUUCCUUCUAUUAUAUGUGGUUUUCAUAGUGGAUUAGAGGCUUCAUGGCAGUGAAGUGCCAAUAAGAAGAAGGUUUCUCUUCAUGGAUUGCUUUGCGCUCCUCCUCCUGCAAGACAGUGAGUCUCCACAGGCCCAUGAAUGUCAUAAGUGAGUGCAAGCUUGAAGAAGCACCUAUCCUGUGCUCAGGACAAAAUAUCUGUGGUCCAGAGCAGAGCUCCCAACCCAGCUACUAUGAACCACGCUAGGCCCCAGAAAAGAAAGGAAAACAGAAGAGACAUUGGAUUGGAUCUUCCAGAAGGUCUUUGUUGCAAUUUUUCUCCAUCAUUGAAAAAAAAAUUACAUCAUCAAAUAAAGACAAUAGCAGCACAGCUUA